UUAAAAUAUCAACAUUUUACGGUUACUAAAAGCGUUUAAUUCAAUUUUAGCAUUUUCUAUGUUAACCGUUUUCUCAAAAAAUAUUUCAAAAACUUCCCCUCUUUGCGAAGUUGGCUGUGUUUAGUUUGCACACAAAUUUUGACAUGCGAUCGCACUGCCAGUGUCAGCCGAAGAAAAGUAUGUCAUAUGCUUCCCAUUGAUCAGAU